UCUGUACUGACAAUAAUAAUUCUGGACCAGCCAAAAAGACAAGAUUAUUAUUUGGACGCUUGAAACAGAAAACGUUUGUCUGACUCGGAUUCACAAUAAUAAUCUCCGACUUCAGAUUGGCAGAUAUUAUAUGAAGCGUGAAGGCAGAUAUUAUUUGAAGCGUGACGAAAAGAAGCACCCCAUUGAGAGAGAUUAGCACGUGACGCAAGCGGCACGUAUGAUUACAGUACUUUAUUGUCUGACAGACCUAACCGUUAUUCAACUUAUUGACUCAUGGAUAGAGAUGUGUGAUUUGCAAUUCCAGGCUUUUGACCAACAGAUUUAGCACGUGCCUGACUUCAAUGUAAACAAACUCUUACGCCUUUCUGGAUGAAUAAGUAUUUUUUUGUAAGAAAAUGAUUAUUAAGAACAGUACUACAUGGUGUGAAAGUAAAACCUCUGAGAAGUUUUCUUGAAGGAAACAGGGUCAGGUUAAAGGUGGGUAACUUUUGGUAAUAUAUAUAUAGGCAAAAUUAAAGAGUGGUGCAACCUGCAGAAGGGAUAAGGAAUCCUCAGACCGAAGUGUUCGCUGAGAACGGUAGACUUGAACCAGUGGCUGGAGCUCGAGGGCUGGAGAGUUGACGUUGGUGAAUAUAGCUUUAGGAGAUAAUGUCCUUGACCUCCUGGUUUUGAUGAGCAUUGUCCUUGACCUCCGUGGUUGUAGUGGACAUUAUUGUAGUGGACACUGUCUUCAGUAGCAGUGAACUCCUGCGUCCUCGUAGUGACUACAUUUAUGCGUACCCCAUCCACCGGACCCACAGUCAAAUAGGGACAGCUCGUUUCCGCGACAGCUGAGGUAACUCAGCCAAAUGGGGCCACUCCCAGGACCGAAGGACUGUUUGUACAACCGGGCGGAUCCUCCCAAACUAAAGAAUAAAUCAUAUAAUAAGAACACUGCUCACAAUAUUACAAAGCCAAGUCAGUUUAGCAUCGUUAUUUUUUAUUUAGUAAGUCAUCAUUCUUUCGAUUAGUCAUCCUUGAUCUUUUGGAAUAUAAAGUUGAUGGGAAAAAAUAUAAGUUUAUGAUUCAUACUAUUUUGAAAUUUAAAAGUUUAAAGGUAGCUCAUUACACCAAAAUCUUAUUAUGAAGUAUGGUUCACCAUCGAAAGAGUGAUACAAGCUCUCAAUUAUUUUAAAUGAUUUUUUUUUGUAUUAUUUUCCGGAAUGAUAAAAAUGGUGUUUUGUUUGCAAAUAAGAGAUUACAUAGUCCAAAUAUCGCUGUGAUUUGAUGUAUGACAUAUAUAUCUAAUAAAACAUGCCUAAAAGAUUCAGAUAGACGUUCUGAUAUCUUGAAUAAAAAUAUUCAUGAAAAUUGAAAUAUUA